rnacentral:rRNA from 1 species
AAAACAUCGCUCCUUGAUUGUGAUUAUAUAAGGAGUCGGACCUGCCCGGUGACCUACGGGUUAAACGGCCGCGGUACACUGACCGUGCAAAGGUAGCACAAUCACUUGCCUUUUAAUUGGAGGCUGGUAUGAAUGGUUUGACGAGGGCUGAGCUGUCUCUCCUGGAAUAUUUAAAAAUUAACUUCUAAGUGAAAAGGCUUAGAUUUAACUGAGGGACGAGAAGACCCUGUUGAGCUUUAGUGUGGAAUAAAAGGUUUAUUUUUAUUAGAAUAGAGGAUUUUAAGUUUAUUCUUACAUCUUUAGUUGGGGUGACUAGGGAACAUGGAAAGCUUCUCUGUUAAUUUGUAGAAAUUUGGUUUACUAACGAGUGAUCCAGCAUUGCUGAUUAUCGGAAAAAGUUACCACAGGGAUAACAGCGUAAUCUUUCUGGAGAGUUCACAUUGAAAGAAGGGUUUGCGACCUCGAUGUUGGAUUAAGGUGUCCUGAGGGUGUAGCAGCUUUCGUUGGUUGGUCUGUUCGACCAUUAAAACCUUACGUGAUCUG